UACGUAGGGUGCGAGCGUUAAUCGGAAUUACUGGGCGUAAAGCGUGCGCAGGCGGUUAUAUAAGACAGUUGUGAAAUCCCCGGGCUCAACCUGUGAAUUGCAUCUGUGACUGUAUAGCUAGAGUACGGUAGAGGGGGAUGGAAUUCCGCGUGUAGCAGUGAAAUGCGUAGAUAUGCGGAGGAACACCGAUGGCGAAGGCAAUCCCCUGGGCCUGCACUGACGCUCAUGCACGAAAGCGUGGGGAGCAAACAGG
rnacentral:rRNA from 1 species